rnacentral:rRNA from 1 species
GCCGCAAGGUUAAAACUCAAAGGAAUUGACGGGGGCCCGCACAAGCGGUGGAGUAUGUGGUUUAAUUCGAUGCAACGCGAAGAACCUUACCUGGUCUUGACAUCCCGGGAAUUUUCUGGAAACAGAAAAGUGCUUCUUUAUAGAAGAGCCUGGAGACAGGUGCUGCAUGGCUGUCGUCAGCUCAUGUCGUGAGAUGUUGGGUUAAGUCCCGUAACGAGCGCAACCCACGCCUUUAGUUGCCAUCAUUUAGUUGGGCACUCUAGAGGGACAGCCCCGGUUAACGGGGAGGAAGGUGUGGAUGACGUCAAGUCCUCAUGGCCCUUAUGGCCAGGGCUACACACGUACUACAAUGGGCGGUACAAAGGGCAGCUACAUCGCGAGGUGGAGCCAAUCCCCCAAAACCGUUCUCAGUCCGGAUCGGAGUCUGCAACUCGACUCCGUGAAGUUGGAAUCGCUAGUAAUCGUGGAUCAGCAAGCCACGGUGAAUACGUUCCCGGGCCUUGUACACACCGCCCGUCACA